rnacentral:snRNA from 1 species
AUUCCCACUGUCCCUGUC